rnacentral:rRNA from 1 species
ACUUGGAUAACUGUAGUAAUUCUAGAGCUAAUACAUGAAUAUGUGCUUUGGUUCACGCCAAAUGCGAAUUUAUUAGAUCAAAACCAACCGGUUUCGGCCGUUAAAUUGGUGACUCUGGAUAACUAUUCUGAUCGCAUGACCUUGUGUCGGCGACGUAUCUUUCAAGUGUCUGCCCUAUCAACUUAAGUUGGUGAGUUAGUUGCUCACCAUGGUUAUAACGGGUAACGGAGAAUCAGUGUUCGAUACCGGAGAGGGAGCCUUAGAAACGGCUACCACAUCUAAGGAAGGCAGCAGGCGCGCAAAUUACCCACUCUCAGAACGAGGAGGUAGUGAAUUUAAAUAGCGAUGAUGAACUCUUAUGAGGCUCGUCAAUCGAAAUGAGUACAAUUUAAAUCCUUUAACGAGUACCAAUUGGAGGGCGAGUCUGGUGCCAGCAGCCGCGGUAAUUCCAGCUCCAAUAGCGAAUAUUAAAUUUGUUGCAGUUAAAAAGCUCGUAGUUGGAUCCAAGGUUAGGCAUGCCUGUCUGUUCUUAGUAGCAUGACUGUGUGUGUCUGCCUUUAUUAGUUGAAUGUUCAUUAUGGUGGUCUUCAUCGACUGCUAUGAUGUGCUCAACACGUUUACCUUGAAAAAAUCAGAGCGAUCAAGGCAGGCCUUCGUGCUUGUAUGUUGUUGCAAGGAAUAAUAGAAUAGGACUUCGGUUCUAUUUUGUUGGUUUUGAGAAUUGAAGUAAUGAACAAUAGAGACAGUCGGGGGCAUUUGUAUGGUGGCGUUAGAGGUGAAAUUCUGAGAUCGUCGCCAGACAAACUACUGCGAAAGCAUUUGCCAAGGAUGUCUUCAUUAAUCAAGAACGAAAGUCAGAGGUUCGAAGACGAUCAGAUACCGUCCUAGUUCUGACCAUAAACGAUGCCGACCUACAAUCGGGGGUGGUUUAUUAUAUUGACCCUCCCGGCUGUCCUCAGGAAACUUUAAGUUGGUUCUGGGGGGAAUAUGGUCUCAAGACUGAAACUUAAAGGAAUUGACGGAAGGGCACCACCAGGAGUGGAGCCUGCGGCUUAAUUUGACACAACACGGGGAAUCUCACCCGGUCCGGACACUGGUAGGAUGGACAGAAUGAUAGCUCUUUCUUGAUUCAGUGGGUGGUGGUGCAUGGCCGUUCUUAGUUGGUGGAGUGAUUUGUCUGGUUAAUUCCGAUAACGAACGAGACUCUGUCCUGCUAAAUAGUCCAGUGGCAUCAAUCACUAUGUGAUUACAGCUGCUGUUACUUCUUAGAGGGAUUCGCGGAUUUAAACCGCAAGAAAUAGAGCAAUAACAGGUCUGUGAUGCCCUUAGAUGUCCGGGGCCGCACGCGCGCUACAUUGACAG